GCGACUAACCUCUGUCUAUGUGUGUGUGUGUGUGUGUGUGUGUGUGUGUAUGUGUGUGUUCCUCAAAUAUCUCUGCGGAUCAGGAUCAGACUGACCUGAGAGUUUCAACAUGGCUGCUGUGUGGUUCAAGGGUGUGAUAUUUCGCAUUUGUUUGGAUUGCAAUGAUACCGUUAAUAAAUUAUUUCAUAAAUGCUUUACAAAUUCCACGAGCAUUGUCCACCGGAGCCACUAUAGUCACGUGCGCACCAGAGCCAAUCACUGCAGAGCCCACCGCGACCCCCCCCACCUUAAGAAACAAGCAGACUUAUAACUGCAGCGGCGCGAGCUGGACCGGGAUUUUGCCGGCGGUUCGGUCCCGUUCUGUUCUGUGCAUCUAAACUGACUGUUGUGGAUUAAUGAGACUAAAAGAGUCCGGAUCGAGUCUGUUCGGGUCUGAGGAGAUCCGGAGACGCGCGGACAACAAAGUGGAAUCAGAUCUGUGGAUGUUCUUGUGUACGCUAGCUAGCUGCUAGCCGCUAGCUACACAGCCCACCUCCCGAUCGAGGCGAUGGACCGGACUCACCGGCACGUCCAAAACCGGACUUAGGGAGACACUUUUGAGUUUACAAAAACUGCAAGCUGCCAGAAAAAGGGAGCUAAGCUGUGGCACCCACUGGACUCUUCACGUACUGUUCUGGUGGCUCGAUGGGACGGUGUUUGGAUCCCGGGUCAGCACUACGAGGACAGGAUCGACCUGAACGCGUCGGUGGUCUUGAAGAACAUAAACUUCAACGACAACGGGCUGUUCGAGUUGAGCUGUGAGGAGACACUGACCCAGCUGGACGUUGUCAGAGCCUCUGAAGUGUCAGUGAGUGCAGGUGGAGCUGUCAGCUUCUCCUUCUUCUACGUCACCUCAGGAGCGCAGGGGAAGUUCAGGCUGGUCAGAAACAGGGAGACAGUGUGUGAGCUGGACCUGUCCUCCGGGACCAUCACAGAUGGGACCGGCUCUGAGGAGAGACUCUCUCUGCCCUCUGAUUGGAGGAGACACGGAGACCUGACUCCGACCCUGCAGCGGGUGAAGCCAGAGGACCAGGGUGAUUACUUUGCAUAUGUGGAGGGAAAAGAUGGAAAGAGAAGAAGUCUCUCUGCCUGGAGGAUCAAGGUCCUGGAUCAAGACCCGGAUCAGACCACCGCCACACCUGGAACUGCUGAUGAGACGACGGACACUCGGACACACCUGGACCCACCUCUGAAUCAAACGCAGCGACCAGCUGGAGAACAGAAGGGAACCUGCAGUGGGACCGUCAGCGCUGUAGCGGUGUUCAUGUUUGUGGCUGCUGGUCUAGCAGGCUUCGGUUUAUGUUGGUGGAUAAAAUCCUGCAGACCGAGUGGACCACAUGGUUCCUCUGGACCCGGUGCUGAAGGACCCUCCACAGACGUGGAGAUGAGUCUUGUAAAGGAGGAGAACCCUGCUGGUUCUGAAGAGGAUGUGGGCCCUUCAAAGCUUCAUGGCUAGACAAUGGCUGAUCAUUAGGGUGGUUAAUCAGCCCAAUUUCCCGAUUCGAUUCUGAUCAUUGAAGUCUUGAUUCGAUUACAAAUUGAUUUGCAAUUAUUAAUGAUUAUUGAUCUUCCAUUUAACAUCAGUCAGCUGCUGAAUUAUCUUACUUCUCUUGUGAGUAACACCUCACAGCACCUUCAACAUUGUAUAGUGUAACUGUCAUAUCAAAAUUAUUAUUUUUUACUUUGUUUUAAAUUCACUGUUUAAAGAAAGUUGCCAAGCUCAGCAGCCGGACUCAUGUUAGAAGCGUUGUUGGUGACGAGAACCAGGUCGUGUUUCUCAGCUCCCCACUCGUCUGCCAUUGCUUUGUAAAUCCGCUCAAAGGUUAAAAUCCAAAUUAAAGGAGAAGCUGUUCAGAGACUAAGUCCAAAUCAAAGACGAGGCAGCAGGUCUUCAGUUCAAAAAGGUGUUCAUUCUAAGAGAAGUAAUAAAUCCAUGAGGUACCCCGGGGCAGCUGAGAAAUCUCCCGGGAUCACCCCCUUUUAUACCUGGGGUUGAUGUCACCAAUGCCCUUCUUGGACCACCCCCCUCGUCAUGAUCACACGAGACUCUCAUCUUCAUUUUUUAAUGUGUUCCUUAAUGCCUACAAAGUGUCUCACCCAGGCCUCUAUCUGUGGCCUUGAGUGCUUCCUCACUCCAGCCCUGUUAUUAUAAAGGCAGCAUCUGACCUUGGUCUUACAUCAGGCUAAUAUUCACUGUUAGCACACAACUUCAAGGUGUAUUUCUCAAAUCAGUUUAUAUGCAUGAUCAUGAUCAGCUUAUGUUUGCCACUACAAUGACCGCUUGAAGAGAUGAGUGUUUUGUAUCAUACGAUGUGCCACAGUCUGCUCUUGAAUGCACUGCUGUAAAUAAAUCUCUAUUUUAUCAAAAUACAA
ensembl:lncRNA